GACGAACGCUGGCGGCGUGCCUAAUACAUGCAAGUGGUNACGCAUUGAUUUCACCGGAGCUUGCUCCACCGAAAUUAGUGAGUCGCGUAACGGGUGAGUAACGCGUAGGUAACCUACCUCUUAGCGGGGGAUAACUAUUGGAAACGAUAGCUAAUACCGCAUAACAAUAGGAUACACAUGUACCCUAUUUAAAAGGAGCAACUGCUUCACUAAGAGAUGGACCUGCGUUGUAUUAGCUAGUUGGUAGGGUAACGGCCUACCAAGGCAUCGUAUACAUAGCCGACCUGAGAGGGUGAUCGGCCACACUGGGACUGAGACACGGCCCAGACUCCUACGGGAGGCAGCAGUAGGGAAUCUUCGGCAUGGGGGGAACCCUGACCGAGCAACGCCGCGUGAGUGAAGAAGGUUUUCGGAUCGUAAAGCUCUGUUGUAAGAGAAGAACGUGUGAGAGAGUGGAAAGUUCUCACAGUGACGGUACUUACCAGAAAGGGACGGCUAACUACGUGCCAAGCAAGCCGCGGUAAAUACGUAAGGUCCCGAGCGUUGUCCGGAUUUAUUGGGCGAUAAAAGCGAGCGCAGGUGGUUGUAUGAACGAUCUUGAGGUAAACAGGCAGUGGCUUAACCUUUGUGUGCU
rnacentral:rRNA from 1 species